rnacentral:rRNA from 1 species
UACGAAGGGGGCUAGCGUUGCUCGGAACGACUGGGCGUAAAGGGCGCGUAGGCGGCUCAUACAGUCAGAUGUGAAAUUCCUGGGCUUAACCUGGGGGCUGCAUUUGAUACGUGUGGGCUUGAGUGGGGAAGAGGGUCGUGGAAUUCCCAGUGUAGAGGUGAAAUUCGUAGAUAUUGGGAAGAACACCGGUGGCGAAGGCGGCGGACUGGAUCUCUUCUGACGCUGAGGCGCGAAAGCUAGGGGAGCAAACGGG